GCGCUCGUAGCUCAGUGGAUAGAGCGUCUGCCUCCGGAGCAGAAGGCCGUGGGUUCGAGUCCCGCCGAGCGCG
rnacentral:tRNA from 1 species